UACCCCUUUUUUAAGGGAUAGGGUCGGUUCGGCCGGAUUUUACACAAGUGUUGCAUGGCUGUCGUCAGCUCGUGUCGUGAGAUGUUGGGUUAAGUCCCGCAACGAGCGCAACCCUCAUCCUUAGUUGCUAUCAGGUAAUGCUGAGUACUUUAAGGAAACUGCCAGUGAUAAGCUGGAGGAAGGUGGGGAUGAUGUCAAGUCAUCAUGGCCUUUAUGGAGUGGGCUACACACGUGCUACAAUGGUGUCUACAAUGGGCUGCAAGGUGCGCAAGCCUAAGCUAAUCCCUAAAAGACAUCUCAGUUCGGAUUGUACUCUGCAACUCGAGUACAUGAAGUUGGAAUCGCUAGUAAUCGUGGAUCAGCAUGCCACGGUGAAUACGUUCUCGGGUCUUGUACACACUGCCCGUCACGCCAUGGGAAUUGGUUCCCCUCCAAAAG
rnacentral:rRNA from 1 species